CGUAGGGGGCAAGCGUUGUCCGGAAUCAUUGGGCGUAAAGCGCGUGUAGGCGGUCCGGUAAGUCGGCUGUGAAAGUCCAGGGCUCAACCCUGGGAUGCCGGUCGAUACUGCCGGACUAGAGUUCGGAAGAGGCGAGUGGAAUUCCCGGUGUAGCGGUGAAAUGCGCAGAUAUCGGGAGGAACACCAAUGGCGAAGGCAGCUCGCUGGGACGUUACUGACGCUGAGACGCGAAAGCGUGGGGAGCAAACAGGAUUAGAUACCCUGGUAGUCCACGCCGUAAACGAUGGGCACUAGGUGUGGGAGGUGUCGACUCCUCCCGUGCCGGAGCUAACGCAUUAAGUGCCCCGCCUGGGGAGUACGGCCGCAAGGCUAA
rnacentral:rRNA from 1 species